rnacentral:rRNA from 1 species
UACGGAGGGGGCUAGCGUUGUUCGGAAUUACUGGGCGUAAAGCGCGCGUAGGCGGACCUGCAAGUCGGGGGUGAAAGCCCGAGGCUCAACCUCGGAACUGCCUUCGAUACUGCGGGUCUCGAGUCCGGGAGAGGAUAGUGGAAUUCCCAGUGUAGUGGUGAAAUACGUAGAGAUUGGGAAGAACACCAGUGGCGAAGGCGGCUAUCUGGACGGUUUCUGACGCUAAGACGCGAAAGCGUGGGGAGCAAACAGG